AACGAACGCUGGCGGCAGGCCUAACACAUGCAAGUCGAGCGCCCUUUCGGGGGAGCGGCGGACGGGUGAGUAACGCGUGGGAAUAUGCCCUUCUCUACGGAAUAGCCUCGGGAAACUGAGAGAAAUACCGAAUACGCCCGGGGGGGGAAAGAUUUAUCGGGGAAGGAUUAGCCCGCGUUGGAUUAGGUAGUUGGUGGGGUAAUGGCCUACCAAGCCGACGAUCCAUAGCUGGUUUGAGAGGAUGAUCAGCCACACUGGGACUGAGACACGGCCCAGACUCCUACGGGAGGCAGCAGUGGGGAAUCUUAGACAAUGGGGGCAACCCUGAUCUAGCCAUGCCGCGUGAGUGAUGAAGGCCUUAGGGUUGUAAAGCUCUUUCAGCUGGGAAGAUAAUGACGGUACCAGCAGAAGAAGCCCCGGCUAACUCCGUG
rnacentral:rRNA from 1 species